UACAGAGGGUGCGAGCGUUAAUCGGAAUUACUGGGCGUAAAGCGCACGUAGGCGGCUUGGUAUGUCGGGUGUGAAAUCCCCGGGCUCAACCUGGGAACUGCAUCCGAAACUGCCUUGCUAGAGUAUGGGAGAGGGAAGUGGAAUUUCCGGUGUAGCGGUGAAAUGCGUAGAUAUCGGAAGGAACAUCAGUGGCGAAGGCGACUUCCUGGACCAAUACUGACGCUCAGGAGCGAAAGCCAGGGGAGCAAACGGG
rnacentral:rRNA from 1 species